GACGAACGCUGGCGGCGUGCUUAACACAUGCAAGUCGAACGGAAAGGCCCUGCUUUUGUGGGGUGCUCGAGUGGCGAACGGGUGAGUAACACGUGAGUAACCUGCCCUUGACUUUGGGAUAACUUCAGGAAACUGGGGCUAAUACCGGAUAGGAGCUCCUGCUGCAUGGUGGGGGUUGGAAAGUUUCGGCGGUUGGGGAUGGACUCGCGGCUUAUCAGCUUGUUGGUGGGGUAGUGGCUUACCAAGGCUUUGACGGGUAGCCGGCCUGAGAGGGUGACCGGCCACAUUGGGCCUGAGAUACGGCCCAGACUCCUACGGGAGGAAGCGGUGGGAAAUAUUGCACAAUGGGGGGAAGCCGGAUGCAGCAACGCCGCGUGCGGAAUGACGGCCUUCGGGUUGUAAACCGCUUUCGCCUGUGACGAAGCGUGGGUGACGGUAAUGGGUAAAGAAGCACCGGCUAACUACGU
rnacentral:rRNA from 1 species